GUUAUCUAAAUUUUAGGAGAUUACUUAGCUAUCUAAAUUUUAGAAAUAUAAUUACAGUUAGCAAAAUUUAAGUUGUCUUCUUUUUGUUUCACAAAUUCUUGUCAACACAAUUUUCAAGAAACAAACAAAGAAAAAAGAGAAGUUUUUGCCCGCGUUGUACGAAUCAAAGUAGUUGCUGACCUAAGAUGGGCUAUGAAGCUGGUGGUACAUCCCGUGAUGGGCGUGAUUAAGAUAGCAAACAAUGGAAAUGCUUCAUGAAGGAUUGUUCUGGUGAUUAUUGCAAAAGAGCUUAGAAAAAAUAGUUAUAAUAUUAAUUAAUGUAAUAUCAUUAAUUAAUAUUGUAAAUGAAUCCAUAAUAAAUGCCAUUGUUUGCCAUAAUUUUAUAAUAUAUGUUUUUCUUGAA